rnacentral:rRNA from 1 species
GACGAACGCUGGCGGCGUGCUUAACACAUGCAAGUCGAACGGGCCUUGUCCCCUUUUUUUUUGGGGGUGGGGUUAGUGGCGAACGGGUGAGUAACACGUGAGUAACCUGCCCCUCACUUCUGGAUAACCGCUUGAAAGGGUGGCUAAUACGGGGUGUUCUGGCCUGCUCGCAUGGGUGGGUUUGGAAAGAUUCGACCGGUUUUGGUUGUUUUGGUGGGGGAUGGGCUCGCGGCCUAUCAGCUUGUUGGUGGGGUGAUGGCCUGCCAAGGCUUUGACGGGUAGCCGGCCUGAGAGGGUGGGCGGUCACACUGGGACUGAGACACGGCCCAGACUCCUACGGGAGGCAGCAGUGGGGAAUAUUGCACAAUGGGCGCAAGCCUGAGGCAGCGACGCCGCGUGAGGGAGGGAGGCCUUCGGGUGGUGAACCUCUUUCGCCAGUGAAGAAGGUCCUGCUCUUUGUGGUGGGGUUGACGGUAGCUGGGUUAAGGAAGCGCCGGCUAACUACG